GAUGAACGCUAGCGAUAGGCCUAACACAUGCAAGUCGAGGGGCAUCACAUGAAGUAGCAAUACGGAUGGUGGCGACCGGCGCACGGGUGAGUAACACGUAUGCAACCUGCCUUCAACAAGGGGAUAACCCGUUGAAAGACGGACUAAUACCCUAUAACACAGGGGUCCCGCAUGGGAAUAUUUGUUAAAGAUUAAUCGGUUGAAGAUGGGCAUGCGUUCCAUUAGCUAGUUGCGGGGUAACGGCCCACCAAGGCAACGAUGGAUAGGGGAACUGAGAGGUUUAUCCCCCACACUGGUACUGAGACACGGACCAGACUCCUACGGGAGGCAGCAGUGAGGAAUAUUGGUCAAUGGACGCAAGUCUGAACCAGCCACGUCGCGUGAAGGAAGACGGCCCUACGGGUUGUAAACUUCUUUUAUACGGGAAUAAAGUGCCCCACGCGUGGGGUUUUGCAUGUACCGUAUGAAUAAGGAUCGGCUAACUCCGUG
rnacentral:rRNA from 1 species